rnacentral:lncRNA from 1 species
GCCCUCGAUCGUUGAACUUCAACAAUCUCUGUGUGACUAUGUGGCCCACUUCAAUGCGACCAUGCUGGAAGUUCGCAACCUCAAUGAGGAGGUUGCAAUGUUAGCUUUGAAGAAAAAACUUCAGAGCAACUGUCUACUUUUCUCCCUCGAUAAGAGCUUCCUGACGGACUAUACCGAUCUCUUCACCUAUGCUCAAAAGUAUGCACAGGUUGAGGAAGUAACAUGUUGUGCAUGUGUGGUGCUCUCAAGCCUUGAAAAAUCAUGAGAGGAGUCACGAUGAUGAUUUCAGAAGGCUAGGAUCAAGUUGGAGCUGUCCUACGUAGAUUUAUUUCAAACAGCAGAAGAGCUGACUCGGAUCUGGGUGGAGUCGACUUGGAUUGGGUCAAGCCGGCUCGGGACUCUGAGAGAAUUGGCUCGAAUGAGAAACAGAGAAUUGACACUUGCGGUGGCAUAGCAGUCGAGCCAACUUGAGGUCGGAUCGAGUCGACUCGAACUGAGAAC